rnacentral:misc_RNA from 1 species
UGAUAAAAGUCAUACAUUACUUUCAUCCAAGUCCAUUUGAAAAUAAAUCAGUGCACUUGUCUAUUUUAUACUUUGACAGCAGUUAGAAGCUUUGUAGUUAAGUCCAUCCUACAUUAAACUCAUUACAUGAAGUCACAAUAGUUAGAAAAUGUGAUUUCAGUUUAGCGAUCUCAAGUUCAAUCCCAUUAGAAUUGGAGUUUGGACAUGAAUGUUAUGCCAGACAAAGAGGACAACUUUAAUGACAGGAAUUUUUGAGGACAACUGGGUUGCAAUAGGGUAAGGUUGAAGAUCAAAUAGAACGAGAAAUUAAAGGUUUUGGAGCAGUUUAAAGUUGCAGGUCUACACCAUAAACAGUACCCACAAACAGCAUUUCAGGCCAAAUAUUAGAGAACUUGACACAGAUUAAUGUACAAUUUAGGGUUUCGAUAAAAAGUUUCUAGGUUUUGAGAUGGAUAAGAAAAGGGGG